UACGUAGGGUGCAAGCGUUAAUCGGAAUUACUGGGCGUAAAGCGUGCGCAGGCGGUUUUGUAAGUCUGUCGUGAAAUCCCCGGGCUCAACCUGGGAACUGCGUUUGUGACUGUAUGACUAGAGUACGGUAGAGAGGGGGUGGAAUUCCUGGUGUAGCAGUGAAAUGCGUAGAUAUCAGGAGGAACAUCGAUGGCGAAGGCAGCCCCUUGGACCUGUACUGACGCUCAUGCACGAAAGCGUGGGGAGCAAACAGG
rnacentral:rRNA from 1 species